CGGGGCGUAGUAUAGUGGUAGUAUAUACGCUUUGGGAGCGUACGGUCCGAGUUCGAUUCUCGGCGCCCCGA
rfam:Parcubacteria (Magasanikbacteria) bacterium GW2011_GWA2_46_17 TX39_C0008, whole genome shotgun sequence.